rnacentral:rRNA from 1 species
AUUAUGGAGAGUUUGAUCCUGGCUCAGGACGAACGCUGGCGGCGUGCCUAAUACAUGCAAGUCGAGCGGAGCACUUCG